UGCUGAGAUCGACUUUACCUUUCAUUCUUUCGGGGGUCAGUAAAAUAAGUACCAGUUGAGCACUGGGGUCAAUGUAAUUAACUUACCCUGCUCUCCUGAGAUUGCUGGUCUUGUGCCAAAAUUCGGAACCAAUUUUAUUAAAUACCACCAAAGCUGUGUGCAACUAAAUUGCUUUUAUAAUUUAUUACAAUAAUUUUUAAAUUCCAGACAAUUUUCGGGAAUAUUCUUUACUAAUUCUUUACUGCAUUGAAUAUCAUCAUCAUCAUCAUUAUCAUCAUCAUCAUCAUCAUUUUUAAUGUCCAUUUUUCCAUGCUUGCAUCGGUCACAUGGAAUGGCUAGGUGCCCUCCGUGUUGCCAACUCUCGCCUGCUUCUUAGCAAGGUGAUAUUUUCCCCUUGGCCAGACAUGUUUUUCAGGGAAGACUGAUAACGAACAGCAUCGUUUGUGUGGUGGUAAUGCUUGUUUAGUCAUCACAUGACUUCAAGAAAGGGUACACACACACACCUGCACAAUGGGCUUCUUUCGGUUUCCACUCACAAGGCUUUGGUCGGCUCUGGGCUAUAGUAGAAGACACAUGCCCAAGGUGCCAUGCAGUGGAACUGAGCCCAACAUCAGAUGUGUAGAGGUGGGAUUACAAUAAACACAAUUAUAGAUUAUUAGCUCCUACCUAUGUUUAACUCAUUACAUUUAUUAGGAACUCAACAUUGGAUGUUCCAAGUGUAUUAAGAUUACUAACUGCGAUGGAUCACCAAGGAAACACUUUAUUGCAUUCUGUUACAGAACUCUAAUAUCUAUAGUUAGACAUGAUAAAGUAUCCCUCCUAGUAAUCCUUUGUAGUAAGAGCAUCUCAUGCAGAAUUCUAAGUAACUGCAAUAUUGAAACGUAUGUAGAAACUAAUAAUUUAUACUUGUGUUUAUCAUAAUUUUUCCCUACAUGUGCUCUGUGUAUCACAAUUAGUUACACUACUAA